CCUGCCCUACGGGAGGCAGCAGUAGGGAAUCUUCCACAAUGGACGAAAGUCUGAUGGAGCAACGCCGCGUGAGUGAAGAAGGGUUUCGGCUCGUAAAGCUCUGUUGGUAGUGAAGAAAGAUAGAGGUAGUAACUGGCCUUUAUUUUACGGUAAUUACUUAGAAAGUCACGGCUAACUACGUGCCAGCAUCCGCGGUAAUACGUAGGUGGCAAGCGUUAUCCGGAUUUAUUG
rnacentral:rRNA from 1 species